ACAGACUUCAACUCCUUUAUGAGAAUAGAGAGGAAGCAAGGACCUAAAAGAAAUCCAACCAGAGCAGAAUACAAUGCAGGAAAACCACCUGAUGGCGGGAAGCUUGGUCACCAGACGCUUUGUUUUUAAGUAUAUGUGGGUAACUCAAAAGCCGAGGACACACGGUAUCGGACCCAGGGUAUAAAUAUGACAAAUCCUGCAGGAGCCCGAGGAGGAAGCCCUGGCCUUUGGGCUUCCCGCACUUCCCGGGCUUGUUUACACGUGCUUUUCCCUGGUUUUUCAAUACAUGGUUGUUGUUGUUGUUGUUGUUUUUUUUUUUUCUUAAGUUCUCACCAGUCUUCACUGUACUAGGGGAUCUCAGGAAGGGGAUUUCCAAAGCUUGUGGGAAAGCCCAGCCCUCCCCCUGCGACGCCUUCACCCGCAGCCCUGCCACACCCUGGCCGGCCCCACAGUCUGUGCUCUGCAGGCCACGGCCACCAGCAGGUGAAGGGCUCCGACCGCAGGCUGCCCCGCCCCCACUUCGUCACAAUGCUGGGUUGUCACCCGUGCGACCUCCCGGACCCUCCGAUGACCCUGUCCCCUUGGGUGCUAGGAAGACCCUAGAGCAGCUCACAGGACCGAGAUCUGUUUUACUUACUAGAUCACCGGCCUGCUGGGAGAGGACACAAGUCACCACCAGCCAGGGGGAGGCGAUGCGGGGCAAGACACGUUCUCCAGGGUGAAAUGCAAGGCAGGAAGGCCCCAAGGCCCCCGGAACGAAGGCAGAAGUACACAUUACAGCUUCACCUCAACAUACCAGCAGGUCGGGAUUCGCACACCUUUUCGCCGAUGAGAAAAAUGAGGCUCGGAAAGAUGAGGCAACGUGGCCAGUGUCACAAAGCUGCAAUUGGCACAGCAGGGAUUUCGUGUGUAUGUGUGUGAGCCCCAGGUCAUGUUUUACAUUACUACACCACAACUGCGGCACAGGUGACCCCUAAACCUGCGCGGAACACUGGCUCUCUUCCCCGUGUCUGGGAGGCAGGAAGGAAGCAAAGAAGAGAGGGAAGGGAAGCCAUCCUUUACCAGGCCCCGCUUGUCCCCUCAAAAUGCUCAGGAAUAAUUAGACUAAGUGUAGUAAGUACUCACUUGAUGAUACUAAGGGCUUUGUAUGAUCACGUCAACGAACCAAACGAGAGUUUGCACACCCCGUUGCAGCAAGCCAACGAGAACAGACACCCAGCUUUUGCAGUGAAGAAAGGUAGGCUAUUCACUGGUGGGCGCCGCCCAGGAGAACACGGGGUGCUAAUGCUCAAGUCCCCAACGCCCUGAGGGCUUGCAAGGGAGGGCUUUUAAGGGCAAACUUUGGGGCAGGGGUCUCCUGAGAGGGUGUUCGUCCUUGACUGGAGGCCAGGCGCUCUGAUGCCACUUGGUCUGGUCCCCCAGAGGCCUUUUCCAUCUCAAGACGUUUGGAAUCUGAAAAAUAUCUUCACUUGCAAGCUAGUGGGGUUGCAUCCUACAGGGUCCUCCGUUGGUCCAGAAUUGGGGGGGGGGGGGGCACAUGACCUCUAGGGUUCAUUCCUCUGAGCUGACUUCAGUCAUUCUCCCUGGGGUCCUCGGGGCACCCAACCCAAAACCCCUGUUAUUUUUCCUAAUUUACAAACAGGAAACGGGGAUCAAACGGGUAGUCCCCCAGCGGGUUGGCUUCGGGCGGCGCGGACCGGGGCCACCCGCCCCGCGGGGGGG
rnacentral:lncRNA from 12 species